rnacentral:rRNA from 1 species
GAGAAAGUUUCCUUCGGGAAAUUAGUAAAGUGGCGCAAGGGUGAGUAUCACGUGAAUAAUCUGCCCUCGAGAUCGGGAUAACAUGGUGAAAACUAUGCUAAUACCGGAUAAGACCACAUUUCAUAAGAAAUGCGGUAAAAGAAGUCUCAAUCUUCACUCGAGGAUGAGUUCGCGCAACAUUAGCUUGUUGGUAAGAUAAAAGCUUACCAAGGCUACGAUGUUUAGCCGGCCUGAGAGGGUGAACGGCCACACUGGAACUGAGACACGGUCCAGACUCCUACGGGAGGCAGCAGUGGGGAAUAUUGCGCAAUGGGCGAAAGCCUGACGCAGCAACGCCGUGUGAGCGAUGAAGGGCUUUAGAGUCGUAAAAGCUCUGUCAAAUGGGAAGAAUUUCUGACGGUACCAUUAGAGGAAGCCCCGGCUAACUCCGUGCCAGCAGCCGCGGUAAUACGGAGGGGGCAAGCGUUGUUCGGAAUUAUUGGGCGUAAAGCGUAUGUAGGCGGCUAAGUAAGUCAGGCGUGCAAGCCCGUGGCUCAACCACGGAAUUGCGUUUGAAACUACUUAGCUUGAGUACAGGAGAGGAAAGCGGAAUUCCCAGUGUAGCGGUGAAAUGCAUUGAUAUUGGGAAGAACAUCUGUGGCGAAGGCGGCUUUCUGGUCUGUUACUGACGCUGAGAUACGAAAGCCAGGGUAGCGAACGGGAUUAGAUACCCCGGUAGUCCUGGCUGUAAACGAUGGGCACUAGGUGGAGGAGGUAUCGAUCCCCUCUCUGCCGUAGCUAACGC